rnacentral:rRNA from 1 species
CCUACGGGAGGCAGCAGUGAGGAAUAUUGGUCAAUGGACGAGAGUCUGAACCAGCCAAGUAGCGUGAAGGAUGACUGCCCUAUGGGUUGUAAACUUCGUUUAUAUGGGAAUAAAAUGUUCCACGUGUGGGAUUUUGUAUGUACCAUAUGAAUAAGGAUCGGCUAACUCCGUGCCAGCAGCAGCGGUAAUACGGAGGAUCCGAGCGUUAUCCGGAUUUAUUGGGUUUAAAGGGAGCGUAGGUGGAUUGUUAAGUCAGUUGUGAAAGUUUGCGGCUCAACCGUAAAAUUGCAGUUGAAACUGGCAGUCUUGAGUACAGUAGAGGUGGGCGGAAUUCGUGGUGUAGCGGUGAAAUGCUUAGAUAUCACGAAGAACUCCGAUUGCGAAGGCAGUUCACUGGACUGCAACUGACACUGAGGCUCGAAAGUGUGGGUAUCAAACAGGAUUAGAUACCCUAGUAGUC